rnacentral:rRNA from 1 species
UACAGAGGGUGCGAGCGUUAAUCGGAAUUACUGGGCGUAAAGCGCACGUAGUCGGCUUUGCAAGUCGGUUGUGAAAUCCCCGGGCUCAACCCGGGAACUGCGUCCGAUACUGGAAGGCUUGAAUCCGGGAGAGGGAUGCGGAAUUCCAGGUGUAGCGGUGAAAUGCGUAGAUAUCUGGAGGAACACCGGUGGCGAAGGCGGCAUCCUGGACCGGUAUUGACGCUGAGGCGCGAAAGCCAGGGGAGCAAACGGG